CAGCCCUAUGACUGACUUUUUUGCUCAGUGCUUUCUUUGUGGAAUCCAUUCAGGUUGCAACAGGUAGCUGUAUACUAUUUGCAUUGCUGUAUAGUAUUCCAUUUUGAAAAUAGAUCACAACUUAUUCAUCUCUUCUGUUGGUGGGCAUUUGGGUUUCUAGUUUUUGUUGUUGUUUUGUUUGUUUGUUUUUUCCUAUUUUUAACACUACCUUGAACAUUUCAGCAGUGUCUUUUGGUGAGUGAAUGGAUGUUUUCUUUUUGCAAUAUUCGUAGCCGUGGACUUGCUGGAUGAGAGUGUCUAGGCAGGUUUAGUUCUACUUUGGAUGGAACCGUUUUCCAAAGUGGUUGUACCUGUUUGCGCUCUCUCCCUCUGUCUUGCCACAUCAUCCCCUGGCCCAGCAUUCCCUGUAAAAUCACUUGUGAAGUAAGCACUGUUUCUUUCUGGUUUCUGAGUCACUUCGUCUCUGAUCCGCCCACAUGAAUCAGCUUCUUGAGGAAGCCCCUUCCACCCACCAGUUGCCUUGAAAACAUUGGAUGCUAAUAUCUGUCAAAUACACCUGUGCGCUUCCUGCUCUGAAGGCGUCUCCAACCUUCCAGGACUUCGCUCGACCUCCCUGCGCCCAGCUGGACCAGGCCGCUGCUGUCUGCAGGCCGAAUUUCUGCCCCCUCUCCUUUGCCUGCAGUCGAUCACCCACCCAGACAGCAGGAGAAUAUCCCAGAUCCCGUGGGCUGGAAGGAGGCGCGAGUGGGUGGCACACGUGGAUCCGAGGGAGACACUGACAUCAGAAGGGACUUGGCAUCCGAGGAACGCACAUCCCCUGGGCCUGGGGUAAAAGUGCCCAAGGUCGCGAGGGAGACUAAGGCACAGUUCCUCGCCUCCCGUGAGGCUGUGGGGCUGCCAGGUUCUGGGUGCAUCCAGGUGCCAUUCUGUGUGCGUGGCGCCCCCUAGGGUCGCGUGCUGAGGCUGGACUCCGCAACCCAUCUUGACUUGAAGUGUCAGUGCCUCCUUGAGAGUGUGAUUUUCUUUCCUCUCCAAAAGGCGCAGGGACCACAGAACACGGCCCCGAUGGUCUGACUCCAAUUAGGAGCUCGCACUUGGCUGGUGAGAAUCCCCAGACAGCCCGAGCUCUGCUGCUCUUGACAGAAUCUCCAGCCCCGGCCGUCGUCGGGCUGGUUCAAGGGGCAGAGCUAGAAGUGCUUGGUAAUUGCACCGAGCCGGGGCUGCUUGCUUCCCAAUUACUGAGCGGCUGAAGUUAUUUGAUGUGGGAAAACCCUCUGCUCUGCGGGACCACCAUCAUGCCCAAGUGAGCGCAGCCGGCAGCAACCGCGCAGAUUCAGCGCUCAUGAACAGCGUGGCGGGGACAGAUGGAUGCCCAGAGGGGCCUCUGCCCUUUUUGGUGUCAGCAAUUUUCUCUUGGCCUGGGUGCAGCUGAGCCAAGACAGGCACUUAAAAAUAAUCACCCUUAUUGAAGUUAAGUGUAUUAAUUUGCAUGCAAUAAUGCUAAAAAUAAUCAACUUUAUGGAGGCGUGAUUUAUGCACAGAGAUGCACCCGUGUUAAGUAGACCAUUUUGAUGAGUUUUGACAGGUGCAUAACCUGUGUGGCCACCACUGCAAUAAA